ACCUUACUACAUGGAUACCUGUGGUAAUUCUAGAGCUAAUACAUGCUAAAAACCCCGACUCACGAAGGGGUGUAUUUAUUAGAUAAAAAACCAACGCCCUUCGGGGCUCCUUGGUGAAUCAUAAUAACUUAACGAAUCGCAUGGCCUUGCGCCGGCGAUGGUUCAUUCAAAUUUCUGCCCUAUCAACUUUCGAUGGUAGGAUAGUGGCCUACCAUGGUGGCAACGGGUAACGGGGAAUUAGGGUUCGAUUCCGGAGAGGGAGCCUGAGAAACGGCUACCACAUCCAAGGAAGGCAGCAGGCGCGCAAAUUACCCAAUCCCGAUACGGGGAGGUAGUGACAAUAAAUACUGAUACGGGGCUCUUUUGGGUCUCGUAAUUGGAAUGAGAACAAUUUAAAUCCCUUAACGAGGAACAAUUGGAGGGCAAGUCUGGUGCCAGCAGCCGCGGUAAUUCCAGCUCCAAUAGCGUAUAUUAAAGUUGUUGCAGUUAAAAAGCUCGUAGUUGAACCUUGGGUCUGGCUGGCCGGUCCGCCUCACCGCGAGUACUGGUCCGGCUGGACUUUCCUUCUGGGGAACCUCAUGGCCUUCACUGGCUGUGGGGGGAACCAGGACUUUUACUGUGAAAAAAUUAGAGUGUUCAAAGCAGG
rnacentral:rRNA from 1 species